rnacentral:rRNA from 1 species
UCGGACGAGAUUUUCCGUUGUAGCAAUACGAUGGAAAGUCUAGUGGCGAACGGGUGCUUAACACGUGGGCAAUCUGUCUUAAAGUGGGGGAUAGCUCGGCGAAAGCCGAAUUAAUACCGCAUGUGAUUAGAAUGGACAUCCAUUCAAAAUUAAAGUCGGGGCAACCUGACGCUUUUUGAGGAGCCCGCGGCCUAUCAGCUUGUUGGUGAGGUAACGGCUCACCAAGGCGUUGACGGGUAGCUGGUCUGAGAGGACGACCAGCCACACUGGGACUGAGACACGGCCCAGACACCUACGGGUGGCAGCAGUCGAGAAUUUUUCUCAAUGGGGGAAACCCUGAAGGAGCGACGCCGCGUGGAGGAUGAAGGUCUUCGGAUUGUAAACUCCUGUCAUUGGGGAACAAGUCGCUUACGUUAACUGCGUGAGCGUUGAUAGUACCCGAAGAGGAAGAGACGGCUAACUCUGUGCCAGCAGCCGCGGUAAUACAGAGGUCUCAAGCGUUGUUCGGAUUCAUUGGGCGUAAAGGGUGCGUAGGCGGCGCGGUAAGUCGGGUGUGAAAUCUCGGAGCUUAACUCCGAAACUGCAUUCGAUACUGCCGUGCUUGAGGACUGGAGAGGAGACUGGAAUUUACGGUGUAGCGGUGAAAUGCGUAGAUAUCGUAAGGAAGACCAGUGGCGAAGGCGGGUCUCUGGACAGUUCCUGACGCUGAGGCACGAAGGCCAG